rnacentral:rRNA from 1 species
GAGUUUGAUCAUGGCUCAGAUUGAACGCUGGCGGCAGGCCUAACACAUGCAAGUCGGGCGGUAGAGAGAAGCUUGCUUCUCUUGAGAGCGGCGGACGGGUGAGUAAUGCCUAGGAAUCUGCCUGGUAGUGGGGGAUAACGCUCGGAAACGGACGCUAAUACCGCAUACGUCCUACGGGAGAAAGCAGGGGACCUUCGGGCCUUGCGCUAUCAGAUGAGCCUAGGUCGGAUUAGCUAGUUGGUGAGGUAAUGGCUCACCAAGGCGACGAUCCGUAACUGGUCUGAGAGGAUGAUCAGUCACACUGGAACUGAGACACGGUCCAGACUCCUACGGGAGGCAGCAGUGGGGAAUAUUGGACAAUGGGCGAAAGCCUGAUCCAGCCAUGCCGCGUGUGUGAAGAAGGUCUUCGGAUUGUAAAGCACUUUAAGUUGGGAGGAAGGGCAGUAGAUUAAUACUUUGCUGUUUUGACGUUACCGACAGAAUAAGCACCGGCUAACUCUGUGCCAG